AGCUGCCUUGACUGAGUAAGUCAGAGAAGGCUUCCUGGAGGAGAGCGAAGGGUGUGGGGCUGGGUUGAGAUACAGGAAGAUCUGGGUUUGAAUUAUAGUUUGGCUGCUUCCUAGCUGUUUGAUCUUGGACAAAACUUUCAUUCAUUCUAUAUUUUUUGGAGUGUCUACUCCAUGCCAAUCAUGUGUGAAAUGUUGGGAUAACAAAGGCGAAUUCAAUCUGGCUCUCGUCCUCGGAGCUUAAGCAAAUCAUCUGGGGUAGCGUGACCCAUGCUACGAUGGAGGUGGAAUACGGGGCUGCAGGGCGGGGCCACAGGACAUAGUGGGCAGCUUAACCUCCUUGAGCCUCCCUAUCCCUAAUUCACGUGAUGGGGUUUGUAACCACUUCUCACAUCGUUGAGAGAAAAGGGUGAGCCUGACUCAGAGGUGUGGCAAAGGAAGGGCAGGGCAGGCUUUAAGGACAGGGACAGGGCUGUCAGAGGCUGAGGCUAGGGAGGGGCAGGAAGGGGUGUGAGGCAGGGCGGAAGAGAGCAGGGCCCUGGGCAGGUGCUGAGCCAGGUCCUGCAGGUCACCCAGUCGCUUGAGUCCACGAAUGCUGGAGGCAGGCACUGGAGAGCCAGGGUGGUUCAGCCGCAGCUCCUCUGAGCAGGGAGUCAAACAGGGCUGAAACAGACACCAGCUCUCCAGGACCAGCUGGUAAGAGCUUCUCCACUGCCCCCGAGCCCUGACAGGAGGACUCCCACAGUGUGCAUGGAAGCCCAGGGAGCUCGGGGGCUACAGAGGCACCAUUGGCUCUGGAGCCUGCAGCCCAGACAGCCCCCUCCAGAUGUAAUGGGGGAAGGAGCCAGGGACUGGGAGGAAUUCAGAGGUCAGAGGAGGAGCAGUAUCAGGAGAUACUGCCCUCCUGCAACUCCUCCUCCCAGCUGCUCUCCCCUCCUGCUAGUGCCCACAAUGGCUCCCAGCUGCCUCCUAUAAGGAAGCUUUAUUAGCCUGCAGCCUGUACUCCUCCACGCAGCAGAGCUGACAGGACCCCAUUAGUCAGCUUAUUCAACCCUUCCCCUGGUGCACAAACCCUUGCCAAGCUUUUCUGGCAUUUUGCUCAGCCUGCUUGGACCCUCCAAGCAGGUAGGAACUCACUGUUUCACAAAGCAGUGUUAUUAGAAAGGUUUCCCUGACCCUAGCCCCCCACAUCUAAUCUUUCUCAAAUGUGGGCAGACUUGUUCCUGGCCCCUUCUCAUUCCACCAGUGCACACAUGCACAUGCUCCCUCUCUCCAUCCAAGCUCCAGGAAUCAACCUCUACCCUGAACCAGGUCCCUGAGGACCACCACGUGGCUGCAACACAGCAGGUGUGGGGCAGGGCACAAGUGGGCUUAAGGGGGGUAUAAGGGCUGGCAGUUUGCUCAUUGAUUCACUCAACAAACAUGUACUGAGCACCUCUAAAGGGCCAGGGCCUGUGCUAGGCACUGCGGUGCCAUGGUGAGCAAAUCCAGAAAUGGACCCUGCCCUCUAGGAGUUCACAGUCCAGAGGAGAAGCCCGAUGCUGAACAGAGAAUCACAUCCGUGAGCAACACAAAAGGCAAGGCAAACCCUGGGCAGAUGCCCCCGGGACUGUGUGUUAUGGGCCUACAGGAAGCCUCUCCCAAUGAAAAAGCAAUUUUUCAGCCAGAACCUCCACCAGUGUCUUUCAAACUGAGCCUGGACCUGUGGCCUUCCCUGCCUCCACCUGGGCCUCAACCGUCACGACCACCUGGCCUUUGAGGUAGGGUUUGGAGAAGGAAGUCAGCCUAUUAUCAGGAGAAGGCUUGAAUUUCUAUAUUCAUAGCUUGUUUCUGUCACUUACUAGCCUUGUGAUCAUGGGCAACUUGUCUAAUCUCUGUCCCUCAGUUUCCUCCUUUGUAAAAUAGGUCUCAUAGAACUCAUCCCCAAAAGUCCUUGUGAAGAUUUAGUUUGUAAGCCAGAUGUCUGCAGACCUCCAGUAAAAGAAUAUGUUUUUGGUAUUAGUAUGUAUGUCCCAAAUAUUGCUUGGAAUAUGCUUAUACAAACAAAAAUCAUUUGUUUUUUAUCUGAAAUUCAAAUUUACCUGGAUGUCCUGUAUUUUAUCUGGAAACCCUACACAGAAAUCAAAUGGCUCACGCUGUGUCUCAGAGCUGCAACGAUCCAACGCCCUCCAUCCUUCAGAGGCUGUCUGAGUCCGGGGACACAACUCCCACCCUCCUCUCCUGCCAGCCGCGGCCCGUGGCUGCUCUCUUCACUUCGUCCCGCUUCGCCCCGACUGUGGAUCUACCCGCUCCCUUCUCCCUCAGUCCCCAAAGCACCAGACUCACAGGCCUGCUGUGUGACCCACUUUUACCGACCUUUCGGGGAGAGUAGAGGGCAUUUGUGACUCAGCUCAGAGCAGGAAACACAUCUCACGUCAACUGUCAGACAGCGCUGCUCCGAAUCCCAUCACAGUGCUCCAGCAGGGGGCGUCCUCACCGGCCGCGGCCACAGCCACGGCUCAACCCGGCCUAGCUCCCAGACACCCUCCUUCCACCGCCUGUUUUCCACCGUCCCCGCCUGCUCUUUCAAGCCAGCAGCAAACAACACCCUAAUCCGUGUCUUUAUUAUUCAAAGACCUUAAGCACUCUUUCCCACCUCGUUCCCAUCUUGAUUAUUUCAGGGAAUGAAUUAGGGAUUCACCUUUACAAUCAAAAAAGUUCUCUCAAAGCCAGGCUACUGGAGUUCUAAUUCUGCCUUCCCACUUUUACUAGCUGUGAAAUCUCAGGAAAGUUACUUAACCUCUCUCUGUCUCAUUUUCCUCAUCUUUAAAAAACAGGAUGAUAAUAUUUAGCUCCUAAGAUGGUUGUGAGGAUUUAAGUGAGCUGAUAUAUCCAAGAAUGUCUAGAACAGCGCGUGGCAGAAUGGGCAUUGCAUAUGGGUUUAAUCUUGUAACUGCCAUGUUUCACCAAUUCUAAGGUGUAUCUCGUUUCUCAUCAUAAGAGCUCUUCCGCUCGUGUGGCAGCUGGGAGUGGCCGUCAUUGCCUGCGCAUACCUAAACUUGGUCAGCAGCCAAGUGUUUUGUGAGACCUAAGAAAGGAAGAGCCCCAUAAGUAAAUGGAACUGUUGUGUUGUUUUAUUACCGAGAAAAGGGCAGAAUGAUUGCUAGUCACACGUGAAGCAAGAAAACCCCGGCAAUAAAGCUUGCAGAAUGAGUGGCUGAGGCUUGAAAAUAAAUGGUGGAAACAAUAGUGGACAAUCUUUUAAAGAAUGGCACAUUGCCAAUGCUCCUGAUGGCACAGAAGGUGACACCAUGCAGAAAAUCAAGGCUCUGAGUCAAAGAGGGUUUCAGAAAAAUUGGACUCUGAAUGUGAAGAAAUCUGGGGACUAUUUUAGCCAAUUUGUUUUGCCUAUAAUUUCCUUUUAUGCAUGCAAAAGAGCAAUUCUGAC
rnacentral:lncRNA from 1 species